AAGAUCAGAGAUGAAGAUGCUGGAAGAUACAUCUGUAGACAGUUCAGCACAUCAGGACACAUGGAGACAGAUUUUGUAGUUGAUCUGACUGUUCAAAAUGAAAAUGAUGUCAGAUCAAAGAGUAAAACACCUAAACCAACAUUCAAACCAUCUUCUGCAUCAACUUCUGCAGCUGAAUCCACAACAACCACAGGAUCAGUUCUGUCAACAUUCAAACCAUCAACUACAGCAGAUCAUGUCUCUAAAACAGGUGUUUGGUGGAGGAUCAUCUAUGUUCCUGUGGGUGUAGCAGCACUCUCAGUCAUCACUGUAUCAGUCUGGAUCUGGACCAGAACAUGAGGAGCAGAAUGAAGAAGUCG